GAUGAACGCUGGCGGCGUGCCUAAUACAUGCAAGUCGAGCGAACAGACGAGGAGCUUGCUCCUCUGACGUUAGCGGCGGACGGGUGAGUAACACGUGGAUAACCUACCUAUAAGACUGGGAUAACUUCGGGAAACCGGAGCUAAUACCGGAUAAUAUAUUGAACCGCAUGGUUCAAUAGUGAAAGACGGUUUUGCUGUCACUUAUAGAUGGAUCCGCGCCGCAUUAGCUAGUUGGUAAGGUAACGGCUUACCAAGGCAACGAUGCGUAGCCGACCUGAGAGGGUGAUCGGCCACACUGGAACUGAGACACGGUCAAGACUCCUACGGGAGGCAGCAGUAGGGAAUCUUACGCAAUGGGCGAAAGCCUGACGGAGCAACGCCGCGUGAGUGAUGAAGGUCUUCGGAUCGUAAAACUCUGUUAUUAGGGAAGAACAAAUGUGUAAGUAACUAUGCACGUAUUGACGGUACCUAAUCAGAAAGCCACGGCUAACUACGUG
rnacentral:rRNA from 1 species